UUGAACGCUGGCGGCAUGCCUUACACAUGCAAGUCGAACGGUAACAGCUCUUCGGAGGCUGACGAGUGGCGAACGGGUGAGUAAUACAUCGGAACGUGCCCGAUCGUGGGGGAUAACUACGCGAAAGCGUAGCUAAUACCGCAUACGCCCUGAGGGGGAAAGCGGGGGACCUUCGGGCCUCGCGCGAUUGGAGCGGCUGAUGUCGGAUUAGCUGGUUGGUGGGGUAAAGGCCUACCAAGGCGACGAUCCGUAGCUGGUCUGAGAGGAUGAUCAGCCACACUGGGACUGAGACACGGCCCAGACUCCUACGGGAGGCAGCAGUGGGGAAUUUUGGACAAUGGGCGCAAGCCUGAUCCAGCCAUGCCGCGUGAGUGAAGAAGGCCUUCGGGUUGUAAAGCUCUUUCAGACGGAAAGAAAUCGGGCGCGUGAAUAGCGUGCCUGGAUGACGGUACUGUCAGAAGAAGCACCGGCUAACUACGU
rnacentral:rRNA from 1 species